rnacentral:rRNA from 1 species
UACGUAGGGUGCGAGCGUUAAUCGGAAUUACUGGGCGUAAAGCGUGCGCAGGCGGUUCGUUAAGUCAGAUGUGAAAGCCCCGGGCUCAACCUGGGAACUGCAUUUGAAACUGGCGGGCUUGAGUGUGGCAGAGGGGGGUGGAAUGCCGCGUGUAGCAGUGAAAUGCGUAGAGAUGCGGAGGAACACCGAUGGCGAAGGCAGCCCCCUGGGCCAACACUGACGCUCAGGCACGAAAGCGUGGGGAGCAAACAGG